AUCCAACUGACGAGUCCCAAAUAGGACGAAACGCGCGUCCUCGAU
rnacentral:hammerhead_ribozyme from 1 species